AAUUUUACCCCCAAAACAUUUGCUGGAACCAAAUUCCCCUAAUUAGAGCCGACGCAAAUACCCCAGAUCCGACCUCCUCUCUCCGCCUCGAGCUCAUGCGGCGCCGUUCUCGAGCUCGUCGGCCGCCUCCUCCGCCUCCUCUCUCCGCCUCGAGAUCAUGCGGCGCUGUCUCUAGAUCGUCCACCGCCGUUCGCCGACCCUGACGACGUCGUUCUUGAGCUCGAAUACCCGCUCUCACAAGCUUGAAACCCUAGCUACCGCCGCAUCUCACAAGCUCUCAGUGGAAGAGCAGAAGCAAGAGAACGAUUAAGAGAAGGGGACGAUGGUUUCGCUGAAGCUCCAGAAGAGGCUCGCCUCGAGCGUUCUCAAGUGUGGAAAGGGCAAAGUUUGGCUCGAUCCUAAUGAAGUGAACGAGAUUUCUAUGGCCAAUUCAAGGGUUACACGAGCGUGGUGAUUCAAUCAUGCUAGUCGAUGAAUCCAUGUGUUUCGAUACAUAUAAUAGAGAUGAAGUAAUGAGAAUAAUACAAAUAGCUCUAUUGUGCACUCAGUCGACAGUUUCUUUGAGGUCGACAAUGACUGAGGUAGUUGUAUGUCUCCUGAGUGAAAGCAGGCCUCUUCUACAUCCCAUGAAGCCUACCUUCACUGGUGUCGAUGGCAGUUCUGAUGGAAAUGCAUCGACGACAACAGUUUCCUUUGUUUAAGUUUCUGCUAGGUGAAAACUGUUAUGCAGUGUAUCUUGCAUAUUAUUAGUACAAAUAUAUGCACACAUAAUAAAGAUGACCAUUAUAAGGUGGAAAGGAGAAUAUGUAUAUGUAUGUGUGUGUAAUGUGUAUGAAGAUGCCAUGUCUGAUUCAGUGUAUACAUACAUUAUCUAUUGUGAUUGUGAAAAGUGUUGGAUAUUUUAUUGAA